UCUACGGGGUGCAGCAGUGAGGAAUAUUGGUCAAUGGCCGUAAGGCUGAACCAGCCAAGUAGCGUGCAGGAAGAAGGACCUAUGGUUUGUAAACUUCUUUUAUAGGGGAAUAACGGUACUUACGUGUGGAUAUUUGCAUGUACCCUAUGAAUAAGCACCGGCUAACUCCGUGCCAGCAGCCGCGGUAAUACGGAGGGUGCGUGCGUUAUCCGGAUUUAUUGGGGUUAAAGGGAGCGUAGGUUGUUUUUUAAGUCAGCGGUGAAAGUUUGGGGCUCAACCAGGACCUUGCCGUGGAAACUGGAGGACUUGAGUGUGUGUGAGGCAGGCGGAAUGCGUGGUGUAGCGGUGAAAUGCAUAGAUAUCACGCAGAACCCCGAUUGCGAAGGCAGCUUGCUAAGGCAGAACUGACACUGAAGCACGAAAGCGUGGGGAUCGAACAGGAUUAGAUACCCCUGUAGUC
rnacentral:rRNA from 1 species